AGCGGAGGGAUCAUUACUGAGUUAUUAAAACUCCAAACCCUUUGUGAACCUUACUGUCGUUGCCUCGGCGUGAGCUACGGCUACCCUGUAGUUACCCUAUAGCUACCCUGCAGCUACCCUAUAGUUGACCAGUAGCUACCCUGUAGUUACCCUAUAGCUACCCUGCAGCUACCCUAUAGUUGACAUGUAGCUACCCUGUAGCCGGCUUAUGGCCCGCCGAAGGACCGCUAAACUCUUGUUUUUUUACCACUGUUUCUCUGAAUUGUAAACUUAAAUAAGUUAAAACUUUCAACAACGGAUCUCUUGGUUCUGGCAUCGAUGAAGAACGCAGCGAAAUGCGAUAAGUAAUGUGAAUUGCAGAAUUCAGUGAAUCAUCGAAUCUUUGAACGCACAUUGCGCCCAUUAGUAUUCUAGUGGGCAUGCCUAUUCGAGCGUCAUUUCGACCCUUAAGCCCCUGUUGCUUAGCGUUGGGAAUCUACAGCGUAGUUCCUUAAAGUUAGUGGCGGAGUUAGGGUACACUCUCAGCGUAGUAAUCUUUCUCGCUCGUGUGGUGGCCCUGGCUGCUAGCCGUUAAACCCCUAUAUUUUCUAGUGGUUGACCUCGGAUUAGGUAGGAAUACCCGCUGAACUUAAGCAU
rnacentral:rRNA from 1 species